UGACCACUUUCGGUAAGCUUCAUUUGCUGAGGAAAGUUAAGGCCAUACGGACAGCCGGGUCAACUGCCGA
rnacentral:sRNA from 2 species